AUUGAACGCUGGCGGAAUGCUUUACACAUGCAAGUCGAACGGCAGCACGAACUUCGGUCUGGUGGCGAGUGGCGAACGGGUGAGUAAUGUAUCGGAACGUGCCCAGUCGUGGGGGAUAACGUAGUGAAAAUUACGCUAAUACCGCAUACGAUCUAUGGAUGAAAGCGGGGGAUCGCAAGACCUCGCGCGAUUGGAGCGGCCGAUAUCAGAUUAGGUAGUUGGUGGGGUAAAGGCCCACCAAGCCAACGAUCUGUAGCUGGUCUGAGAGGACGACCAGCCACACUGGAACUGAGACACGGUCAAGACUCCUACGGGAGGCAUCAGUGGGGAAUUUUGGACAAUGGGCGAGAGCCUGAUCCAGCCAUUCCGCGGGCAGAGUGAAGGCCCUCGGGUUGUAAACUGCUUUUGUACAGAACGAAAAGGUUUCUACUAAUACUAGGAGCUCAUGACGGUACUGUAAGAAUAAGCACCGGCUAACUACGUGCCAGCCGCCGCAGUAA
rnacentral:rRNA from 1 species